rnacentral:tRNA from 1 species
GCCCGGUUAGCUCAAUCGGUAGAGCGUGAGACUCUUACGAGUACGCGAUCUCAAGGUUGCGGGUUCGACCCCCCGCAUCGGGCU